UGACCGUAAAUGUAUCAGGUCAAAAUGGCCCAUCGAUCCCAGUUGUCCGUCUUCUAAGAGGGCGACAUUGUGCUCAGAGGAAGAGAGUGAUGGAAGCUUCUCUUAACAUCCAUCCAUAUAAUGCCUAUCCAUUGCUUCUCCCCUCUACAUUCCUAACUUCCCUCUUCGAACCCAUCGUGUAAGGACUGCUCUUCCAAAUCCUUUUAGAAGCAGCCACUGUUUGGAAACUGCCCAGCUUCCAGUGAUGGUAUAUUCCGUGCCUAUCGAUCACUGAGUGAAUAAGUGUUUCCUUUGGCUCAGAAGCAACCAUCUUCAAGCUCUCAGGGGGAGUCCCCUGGUCCCGGUGGUGUGAGAUUUGCUGAACCACAAAUCUGGUGAUUGAGGUUUACAAGAUCAUGAAGAGCAGGGGGGCGAGAUAAGCACGCUUUAAUACAUUCAUGUUUGUUCUUAUGUCAUCUUCCCUGGGUCUCCAAUAGUUUAAACUAAAGGGAAUUAUUGCUCAUUUUGACAUCUGAUCCUUUCAAAGUUUGGAAAUCCACCGUCCGCCCCAGACAGUCCGAUACAAGAACAAAGGCUCGCUGUUUUCAAGGUCAUCUACGAAAGCUCUUUUUGCCCCAGAGGUGUGUCAGACAUAUCCAUCCCCUAUGAGGCGAUGGCUACUCACUGAAGUCAGAAGAGUCUCUUGAUUUUUUUGGCAGCUUGUCAAAACCCAGACCGCCACAGAGCACUGGAGGAAGAAACAUGAACUGGAACCAGAGGAAAUGGCUUCCUAUCUGGCAAGUGGUUUAAAGCGCAGAUGCUCAGCGAACGGGCUUUCAACCGAAGAGGACGACACAGAUGAGAAGGCAGAAUAAAUGGAAAAGAACAACGGGGCUAGCAAAGACAAAUGCAUUAUAACCCGAGGCUCCGGUCUUUUUGCCCGGAGCACUGAAGAGCUUAACUACCUUAGAGAUGACUAUUUAAUAUUGGCUUUAAAGUUAAUACUACCUUGGCAUCUAUUUCAUAUCAAUUUGCCUCCGGUGCUCUUUCCAAAGUGCCUUUAAAAAAGACACACGCUAGACAUUUUCUGCAUGGCACUGAAAACUCACUGGCAUAUUCACAGUGGAAAAGAACUCAAACACCACAUUGGUUCCCGUCUUUUAAUGUGCCCAGAAUCUUGGUCUCUAUUGAAUUCGAAGUGAAGGGCAAACAUGGGAUGGCUUAGCCAAGAGGGAAGAAGGAACGGGGAGGGAGGAAGCUGGUAAAAUAAUUCAGACUGCCUCAAGAAAAAUACAACCGUACCAGAUGUAUCAAAGGGGAAAUUUCAGUGCCGUACCUCUAAAUGACGGCCUUAUUAUAAAAUGAUGUGCAGCAUUCCUCUCAAGGCUAUAUGUGCAAAAGAACCAGUAACAAUCAUUGUUCUCCCAGAUUAUGAAAGGAAAAGCAAGUACCACGAUGUAUAAAUCAGCGGAGAAACUAGGGAAGGUUUCAGAACUCGUAGUGCAGAAUUCAAACGUACAAACUGAAGACGACUCAAGCAUGCAGAAUUCAAACCUACAAACUCUGAA